ACAAUAUAAUACGAAGAGGGAUGACAUACCUGUGCACGAUACAUCAUCAUUGUGUUAUAGUUUUGAUUUGAUACACAUAAUAACUCGCAGACAUGGACUUUGAUGAAAACGAGACAUGGCCGGUGUCCAUUCGUGCGUUGUUAAGGCAACAGGUGGAGGAACAAAGUUACUUUUGCGACUUCACAGUGAAACAUGAACUCUGGAGUAAGCGUUACCAUGCCUGUGUCGCGAGUGUGAGUCCAUUCGUUCAGGCAAUGAGAAGAAAUGAUUUCAACGAACAGGCUAA